CCGGCAGGGUUAGAAAUGAGAGGUUGGAUAGCUCGGCUUUUAAUCGAGAGGUGGGAAAAAAAUGGGAGGGAUUAAAAAAAAAAAAAAAAAGAGGAAAAAAAAAAGCCGAGAAGAAUUCACCUCGCUGUAAAAUAACACUUCUAAAAAAGAUUUAAAAUUGCAAAAUUCAACUAAAAAAAAAAAAAGCCUCCACGCAAGUCACCUCAGCAGCUGCCCUACAGGAACUAAAGGAGGAAAAGAGAGAAGAUGGAGACAAUGAGGCUUUCUCUGCCCCUGGGCUGGAAAAUGCAGAAUGAGAAGCAGUGGCUGCAGGAUCUCACGGCCACCACCCUGCUGAGGGGAUGGGCAGAGUGGGCACAUGCCAUGGAUAGCCUGACUGGGGGCUUCCACAACCUUCCACAGUGAGGUUUGUUCCAAGCCCUUCCCUAAAUCAGCUCUCCAUUUGCCUGGGAUGACUUUCACCCACCCCUGUGAAGCAGGCGCACAGGGACAGACCCAUGUGUCCCCUGACUCCAUCGGCUUAUCCUUCCCCUCCCUGGGGGUCCUUGUGAUGCCAUUGCCCCUCUCCCUGUCCUGCCAUCUCAUGGAAGAGGUAUCCAGAAGGAAACCAAAAGCUGUUCCAGAUGGCAGAAAGGCUCAACAGAGCAGAACAACUGUUCCCCAGUCCUUAGAUUUCUGCAAACCAAAUCCACCUUUCUUGGAAAAAUGUAAUUCAAGCUCCUCAGCCUUCCUUGGAGCUGGUGAGCAGCAAGAGCAAAGUGCCAGCACUGGCUCCCUGGGGAGGGAAAGUGCCAUCCUGCAGAGUGCUUCUAUAUUGGUCUCUGCCACGAGCAGGUCUAAAUUGGAAGUGAUGGCAGCAGCAAGCGCCAGGAUGCUGAGAUGGACUCUGAGGCCUGCACAAAGUGAUUUCAGGGGCUGCUUGUGCUUGGCCUGGGGGAUGCCUGCCAGCACAGGACACUGCAGUUCUAAUCCCACUAAAAGCUAGAUGGGAACAACUUGGACAAAGGCUUUUGUCUUUCUUGCUGAAAAAACCAGAUUCCUGUCAAGACUGAUGGCUUGUGAAUUUGUCUAGGAUCUCUUGAAUUUUUCUGGUCCCCAAAACACUCAGGCUUCUCCUUCUGAAGCACCCCUAGUGUUCAAUUUAAGGCUCUUGCAGAAGCAGCUGUCAGAAGCUGCAGAGCAGAGCUUCCUUCAGACAUGUGCAGCCACUCAGUGGUUGUGACUGCUCCUGAAACUGCCCCGGGAGGCUGUUUGGUCAGGGCCAGCUCUUGCUUGUGCUUUUUGCAUUGCCAAACUCCUGUCACUGUCCUCCAAUCCCUGUUCACAAAGGGUCCUGGGGGCUUGUGCUCUCCUGACCCCAUUCUCCCCCUGGCAUAGUUUCCUUUCCCGUGGUUCCCCACUGGCAUUUUUUGAAGCCUUCUCCAGGCCACCUUCCUUAUAGCUUUAAACCCCACUGUCGCAGGGUCAGGAGGUUUCAGGAAAGAUGCUCUGGAGGAGCCACAGGCUGGGAACAGAGGAAGGACUGUUGUGGAAGCAAGAGCAGUGCCAGCCAUGCUGGGCACCCACUUCACCAUGCUCAGUGCCAUUUUGCCACAGAUGCAGAACUCUGGUGGCAUUGGUGACCUUGGGGACAUCAGUCUGCAGAGUCCAAGUCUAUGGUACAGGGAGCUGUACAGCCCAUGGGAAAUGGGUAGCUUUGAGGUCUCAGGGCAACUUUGGGGUGUGCAGAGCUGAGCAGUCACCCCCAAGCCCAGGUGGUGUUUUUCCCUCUAUGCUGUGGCCAGGGAGGGUCAGAGCCGUGCGAGGUGUGGGGCACAUGGCAGGACAGGCCACCACGAGGCACCACGCUACAAGCUGCUUGCUCUGCAGCAUGCUGAACCCUGCCCAAAUAGCCCCUGUGGUCACCAUCACCCAGUGAGAGAGCCCAAUUGCAAAGAAAAUAGGGAAGCAGCUGAAAAAAUAAAGUGUUACCAUGGCACUGUGUGCACCAGGUCGGAAAUUUGGGAUGGUGCCGAAGCACAGCCUCGGAUGUUCCUCCUGUCCCAGGGUAUGAGGAGCCAACACAGAAUGGAGAAAGAAGUGCCAAGAGCCAGAGAAAAGACACACUCCUGAUGGCACCAGUGUUGGCAGUCAGGGCCUGUAGGUCCUCCAGAUACUUGGGAAGAGCCAGGGAUGCUGCAGCCACAUCUGUGUGGUGUGAGGUGAAAUGAUCUAGCCCUUGCUCCCUGUCUUCUGAGCAUGACACAGUGCCAGCCUCUGUGGGUAACCCAGCCCCUUCACCAUCUGCAACCCUCCCCAAAUGCCUGAAGUAUCCAAAA